rnacentral:ncRNA from 1 species
UAAACGGCUAUGAAGAGAAGAGUAGUUAUGAUUAAUUAUUUCCAGAGAGCUCCAGUAGGUGGGAAGGAGCAAUAAUGAUCUUAAUGAACAAAGACUCAGAGCUUCGCACGGAUCUAGGAUCAUAAUCUUAGUGAUACUGCGACGGGAUCUCCCGUUACAGAGAUAGGGUAUAAUCAAUGAUUGUAAUUGACGUACCCGAAGAGGUUGAUAUGGUGACAUAUCAAUAAACUGGGGUGGUACCACGAAGUUCAUAACUCUCGUCCUCAAG